CUCCUUCUGACUCUGCUCUUCCAAGUUUUCAUCAGCACAGAGGAGAUGUCAGAGGAGGUCGAGACCUUCUGGGGGCGAUGCCGGGAGCAGCGCAGCCUUCCCCCCAACCCCAACAGGUUUGCAGUGCAGACCGUCAAAGCCCUGCUGCGCCAGCUGCUGGAUGAGGACGUGGUGAUGGUGAUCCAUCGCAAGUGUGGCUGGGACAUGCUCCUCAAGGCUGACAGCCACCACUAUGCAGUGGGUCUGCUGGCCAGGGAGCUGUGCCGU